rnacentral:rRNA from 1 species
GGUAUAGACCCGAAACCCGGUGAUCUAGCCAUGGGCAGGUUGAAGGUUGGGUAACACUAACUGGAGGACCGAACCGACUAAUGUUGAAAAAUUAGCGGAUGACUUGUGGCUGGGGGUGAAAGGCCAAUCAAACCGGGAGAUAGCUGGUUCUCCCCGAAAGCUAUUUAGGUAGCGCCUCGUGAAUUCAUCUCCGGGGGUAGAGCACUGUUUCGGCAAGGGGGUCAUCCCGACUUACCAACCCGAUGCAAACUGCGAAUACCGGAGAAUGUUAUCACGGGAGACACACGGCGGGUGCUAACGUCCGUCGUGAAGAGGGAAACAACCCAGACCGCCAGCUAAGGUCCCAAAGUCAUGGUUAAGUGGGAAACGAUGUGGGAAGGCCCAGACAGCCAGGAUGUUGGCUUAGAAGCAGCCAUCAUUUAAAGAAAGCGUAAUAGCUCACUGGUCGAGUCGGCCUGCGCGGAAGAUGUAACGGGGCUAAACCAUGCACCGAAGCUGCGGCAGCGACACUGUGUGUUGUUGGGUAGGGGAGCGUUCUGUAAGCCUGUGAAGGUGUACUGUGAGGUAUGCUGGAGGUAUCAGAAGUGCGAAUGCUGACAUAAGUAACGAUAAAGCGGGUGAAAAGCCCGCUCGCCGGAAGACCAAGGG